rnacentral:lncRNA from 1 species
AUAAAAUUGAGAAUGGAAAUGGGGAAUGUGCCAAAGAGACAACAACCCGACCAUAGAAAAAAACAACAGCAGAAGGUCACCAACAGGUCUUCAAUGUAGCGAAAAAUUCCCGCACCCGGAGGCGUCCUUCAGCUGGCCCCUAAACAAAUAUAUACUAGUUCAGUGAUAAUGAACGCCAUACUAAUUUCCAAAUUGUACACAAGAAACUAAAAUUAAAAUAAUACAAGACUAACACAGGCCAGAGGCUCCUGACUUGGGACAGGCGCAAAAAUGUGGCGGGGUUAAACAUGUUUGUGAGAUCUCAACCCUCCCCCUAUACCUCUAGCCAAUGUAGAAAAGUAAACGCAUAACA